rnacentral:rRNA from 1 species
GACGAACGCUGGCGGCGCGCCUAACACAUGCAAGUCGAACGAGCGAGAGAGAGCUUGCUUUCUCGAGCGAGUGGCGAACGGGUGAGUAACGCGUGAGGAACCUGCCUCAAAGAGGGGGACAACAGUUGGAAACGACUGCUAAUACCGCAUAAGCCCACGACCCGGCAUCGGGUUGAGGGAAAAGGAGCAAUCCGCUUUGAGAUGGCCUCGCGUCCGAUUAGCUAGUUGGUGGGGUAACGGCCUACCAAAGCGACGAUCGGUAGCCGAGCUGAGAGGCUCAACGGCCACAUUGGGACUGAGAUACGGCCCAG